rnacentral:rRNA from 1 species
CCACACACGUGCAACAAUGGCCGGUACAGACGGAGGCAAUGCCGAGAGGCGGAGCAAACCCGNGAAAAACGGUCCCCAGUUCGGAUUGAGGUCUGCAACUCGACCUCAUGAAAGUCGGAAUCGCUAGUAAUCGCAUAUCAGAACGAUGCGGUGAAUACGUUCCCGGGCCUUGUACACACCGCCCGUCACACCACGAAAGUUUGUUGUACCCGAAGUCGGUGCCUUAACCUCGCAAGAGGAGAGAGCGCCCAAGGUAUGGCCGAUGAUUGGGUGAAGUCGUAACAAGGUAGCCGUAGGGGAACCUGCGGCUGGAUCACCUCCUUUCUAGGAGAGAAGGGUCCUGGAUGAAGCGCUCCUAUUUAGUCUUGUGAAGGAUCCGAGUGGAAGCCGGGACCGGAGAAAGACCGGGCCUGUAGCUCAGAUGGUGAGAGCGCACGCCUGAUAAGCGUGAGGUCGAUAGUUCGAAUCUAUCCAGGCCCACCAUCUGCGG